GGGGAAUAUUGCGCAAUGGCCGAAAGGCUGACGCAGCGACGCCGCGUGUGGGAGGAAGCCCUUCGGGGUGUAAACCACUGUCAGAAGGGAAGAAACUCGGGCUUUCGAACAGGGAGUUCGAUUGACGGUACCUUCAGAGGAAGCACCGGCUAACUCCGUGCCAGCAGCCGCGGUAAUACGGAGGGUGCAAGCGUUGUCCGGAUUUAUUGGGUUUAAAGGGUGCGUAGGCGGAUUGGUAAGUCAGUGGUGAAAGGCAGCGGCUCAACCGUUGAGUUGCCGUUGAUACUGCCAGUCUUGAGUGCACUAGAGGUAAGUGGAAUUUAUGGUGUAGCGGUGAAAUGCAUAGAUACCAUAAAGAACACCAAUAGCGAAGGCAGCUUACUAGAGUGUAACUGACGCUGAGGCACGAAAGCGUGGGGAUCGA
rnacentral:rRNA from 1 species